rnacentral:tRNA from 6 species
GGAGAGGUGGUCGAGUGGUUGAUGGCUCCGGUCUUGAAAACCGGCGACCCGCAAGGGUCCGUGGGUUCGAAUCCCACCCUCUCCG